UGCAAGUCGAACGAAAAGAGGGAAAGAGCUUGCUCUUUCCGGAAUUGAGUGGCAAACGGGUGAGUAACACGUAAACAACCUGCCUUCAGGAUGGGGACAACAGACGGAAACGACUGCUAAUACCGAAUAAGUUCCAAGAGCCGCAUGGCCCAUGGAAGAAAAGGUGGCCUCUACCUGUAAGCUAUCGCCUGAAGAGGGGUUUGCGUCUGAUUAGCUGGUUGGAGGGGUAACGGCCCACCAAGGCGACGAUCAGUAGCCGGUCUGAGAGGAUGAACGGCCACACUGGAACUGAGACACGGUCCAGACUCCUACGGGAGGCAGCAGUGGGGAAUCUUCCGCAAUGGGCGAAAGCCUGACGGAGCAACGCCGCGUGAGUGAUGACGGCCUUCGGGUUGUAAAACUCUGUGAUCCGGGACGAAAAGGCAGAGUGCGAAGAACAAACUGCAUUGACGGUACCGGAAAAGCAAGCCACGGCUAACUACGUGCCAGCAGCCGCGGUAAUACAUAGGUGGCAAGCGUUGUCCGGAAUUAUUGGGCGUAAAGCGCGCGCAGGCGGCUUCCCAAGUCCCUCUUAAAAGUGCGGGGCUUAACCCCGUGAUGGGAAGGAAACUGGGAAGCUGGA
rnacentral:rRNA from 1 species